rnacentral:lncRNA from 1 species
GGCAAUAAUGAGGCGGGCGCGUACUACGCAUGGAACCGUGGGGCUUCCGCCCCCCGUUGCACUUUGAAUGCCAUGAUGGCGAGACCCGGGGCGCGACGCGAUCAACCGACCGACCGGCCGGCCGCUCGUGUGUGACCACACCCCGACCCCGGGCGGGACUCGAGUUGGGGUUUGGAUUGGAUUGGUUGGAUGGAUGUGCCCUCCCUGCGGCACCACCUGCCUGCCC